GUGCUCACUUUGGCAGCACAUAUACUAAAACUGGAACGAUACAGAGAUUAGCAUGGCCCCUGUGCAAGGAUGACACGUAAAUUCGUGAAGCAUUGAAAAAAAGU
rnacentral:snRNA from 1 species